rnacentral:rRNA from 1 species
ACGAACGCUGGCGGCGUGCUUCACACAUGCCAGUCGCGCGGAAAGGCCACUUCGGUGGUACUCGAGCGGCGAACGGGUGAGUAACACGUGAGUAAUCUGCCCCUCACUUUGGGAUAGCCACCGGAAACGGUGAUUAAUACCGGAUAUGACCAUAUGUCGCAUGGCGUGUGGUGGAAAGUUUUUCGGUGAGGGAUGUGCUCGCGGCCUAUCAGCUUGAUGGUGAGGUAAUGGCUCACCAUGGCUUCGACGGGUAGCCGGCCUGAGAGGGUGACCGGUCACACUGGGACUGAGACACGGCCCAGACUCCUACGGGAGGCAGCAGUGGGGAAUAUUGGACAAUGGGCGGAAGCCUGAUCCAGCAACGCCGCGUGAGGGAUGACGGCCUUCGGGUUGUAAACCUCUUUCAGUACCGACGAAGCGCAAGUGACGGUAGGUACAGAAGAAGCACCGGCCAACUACGUG